rnacentral:rRNA from 1 species
AGCGGAGGAAAAGAAACCAACAGGGAUUGCCUCAGUAACGGCGAGUGAAGCGGCAAAAGCUCAAAUUUUAAAGCUGGCACCUCCGGUGUCCGCGUUGUAAUUUUGUGAGGCAUCUCCGGGUGGGGCGCCGGCCUAAGUUCCUUGGAACAGGACGUCAUAGAGGGUGAGAAUCCCGUGCUUGGCUGGCUGUCCCCGUCCAUGUGAGGUGUCUUCGACGAGUCGAGUUGUUUGGGAAUGCAGCUCAAAAUGGGUGGUAAAUUUCAUCUAAAGCUAAAUAUUGGUGGGAGACCGAUAGCGCACAAGUAGAGUGAUCGAAAGAUGAAAAGCACUUUGAAAAUAGAGUUAAAAAGUACGUGAAAUUGUUGAAAGGGAAGCGCUUGAGACCAGACUUCGGUGGGGAGUGAUCAGCCGUCCUUCUGGGCGGUGCACUUGCCCCCCUCCGGGCCAGCAUCGGUUGGGACGGCGGGAUAAAGGUCCCGGGAAUGUGGCUCCUCUCGGGGAGUGUUAUAGCCCGGGUGAAUGCCGCCAGCCCCGACCGAGGACCGCGCCUUCGGGCUAGGAUGCUUGGCAUAAUGGUCUUCAGCGACCC